GGAGCGUUUGCAGUGUCGCUCGCCGUGACUGAGCAGUUGCCAGUUCUAAAAAGAAGAAAAGUUCAUCGUAGAACUUUCCCGAACUGUAAACUCCCGAAAUAACACUACCUCGUUAGAAUCUCUAUUUCAAUACGGUUCUUUCGGUGUUUUCAAUGAAUACAUGCCUUUCUCAAGAGCCAUAAUUAGGAUCACGGUGCCCGGUGGCCCUCAGCUCCUUUACUUUGGGGGUGUGUCUCAGGCUAGUCUGAGAAAGUACCGCGUGCUUACUCUUUGUUCUCUAUUUACCUAUUCCUUAAAAACGAAGCAUGUCCACACUAAACACCUGAUUCCACCCCUGGACCAACCCUCAUUGCCAGGAAUGCCCUUUUCUUUGACUUUUCCUAGUGGUUCCAACAACAAAGCCCCUCGUUUUGGGGAUAGGCGGUAGACACUGGAGUGGGAGGGUUAAGAAAAACAACACUUUCUCUCCAGAUUUCCUCUUCCAACAAUCCGAUUGGUGCGACCAACAGAUCGUUUUCCUUUUUGUAAAAAGACAGGAUUGGACUAAACGAUCCAGGCCUCGACUGGAAUAGGACCAGGCUUCCCGGCUGAUGCUCGCGGGCUACUUCUUGUCAGGCGGCGCCGCGGACACCUUUGCUGCGUAGUGAUUGGCCCGCGGCGGGGGCCUCGCGCUUGUCCAAUAUGGCGGCGCCCAGUGGCGGUGUGAGCUGUGAGGAGUUCGCCGAGUUCCAGGAAUUACUCAAGGUGAUGAGGACGAUUGACGACAGAAUUGUACACGAAUUAAACACUACGGUUCCAACAGCUUCCUUUGCAGGGAAAAUUGAUGCCAGCCAAACCUGUAAACAACUUUAUGAGUCUUUGAUGGCAGCUCAUGCCAGUAGGGACAGAGUCAUAAAAAAUUGUAUAGCUCAGACUUCAGCUGUAGUAAAAAACCUCCGAGAAGAGAGAGAAAAGAAUUUGGACGAUUUAACGUUAUUAAAGCAACUUAGAAAAGAACAGACGAAGUUGAAAUGGAUGCAGUCAGAACUGAAUGUUGAAGAAGUAGUAAAUGACAGGAGCUGGAAGGUGUUUAAUGAACGCUGCCGAAUUCACUUCAAGCCUCCAAAGAACGAAUAAAGAAAGAUACUGUUUUUUAAAGGACCGGGUCAUCUCAUAAGAGCUAAGCACGACAGACAUCAACAGGGUGGGCUUCCUAGGAUGACUUCUGAGCCAACAGUCCAAGACCUUUUGUUGAUUUCAGCCCCACUUAGCCAAGACCUCAAAUAUUAAUAAUUCUGCUGGAUUCAGAAGAGGAUGUGGAACAAGGGGUAUCGUUGCUGAUGUCAGAUGGAUCAUGCCUGAAAGCAAAGAAUAAAAGAAGGAUGUUUACCUGUGUUUUAUUGACUAUGCAAAGGCAUUCGACUGUGUUGCUUAUAACAAACUAUGGAUAACAUUGCAAAGAACGGGAAUUCCAGAACACUUCAUUGUGCUCAUGAGGAACCUGUACUUAGACCAGGAGUCAGUUGUUUGAACAGAACAAGGGGCUACUGAGUGGUUUAAAGUCAGGAAAGGUGUGUGUCAGGGUUGUAUCCUUUCACCAUACUUAAUCUGUAUGAUGAGCCAAUAAUCUGAGAAGCUGGACUAUAUGAAGAAGAACGCGGCCUCAGGGUUGGAGGAAGACUCAUGAACAACCUGCCAUAGGCAGAUGACACGACCUUCCUCGCUGAAAUCGAAGAGGACUUGAAGCACUUACUAAUGAAGAUUAAAGACCGUAGCCCUCAGUAUGAAUUACACCUCAACAUAAGACAAAAAUCCUCACAACUGGACCAAUUAGCAACAACAUGAUAAAAGGAGAAAAGAUUGAAGUUCUCAAGGAUUUCAUUUUACUUGGAUCCACAAUCAAUGCCCACGGAAGCAGCAGUUAAGAAAUCAGAUGGCACGUUGCAUUGGGCAAAUCUGCUGCAAAAGACCCUAAAGUGUUAAAAAGCAAAGAUGUCACUUUUCAGGACUAAGGUGCACUGGUGGGUUUGAACUGCUGACCUUUCAGUUAACAGCCAAGUGUUUAAUUACUGUGCCACCAGGGCUCCUAGAGGUUUAAAAAAAAAAUUAGGGUGGGAAAAUUAGGGGCUAUUUUAGGAUUCUGUCUACUACAAUGAUCUAAACAUAAGCCACGUGGCUCUAGCACAGUUACAUCAACCAACUGGGUAACUGGUAGACCUGUGUCUAUGUAGCUGCUCAUAGAUUAUGUGCUUGGGAAAGAGCAAUAAAGACAUAAAGUGCUCACUGUUCUUUCAACAACUUUUUUUGAGCACUUAUUGUAAGUAUGUCACUUAGUUGUUGUGGCUAUUGAUAAAUAAGAUCUACUUUUGUGGAGAUUAGAAUCAAGUCUUCUCAAAAGGAAAAAUUUUCUAGGUGCCAGCAGAGAAAAAGAUUUUCUAUAAGGCUUGCUUAUUAAUGAACGGUGCCUGACAAUAGUUGUUUAAUUAUUAUUGGAUGGAUGAGUGAAUUGAAAGGAUGAAUGCAAGAAUAAAGAUAGAACUUAAAAGAUCUCCCUGGUGCUGUUGCUUAGGAGGGAAUUCAGACCCUUAUUCAUAACAGCCUUUGCAAAAUUUCAUUCAGCUUAAUGGUUGCAUCCCCAGGGCUCCUUAAUUAUGUCAGUAGGAUGUCUAAGUCAUUCCAGUAUAACAGAGCUUAGGAAGAUUAUGGUGGUGACUUUUAGUGUGGUGGUAGUUGCCAUCGAGUCAAUUCCGAUUCACAUGACCUUUAGUAUAAAUAAAUAUUUAUAUUUAUUUAGUAUACCCUUCCUAGGCUUUUUGAGUCUAGAAGCUCCACUAAAACCUGUGCGGUAUUAGAAAUACUGGUAGCACAGCUUCCAGCCUCACAGCUAUUACAGUAUGACAAACCAACAGACGAGUGGCACUUAAUCGUCCUCGUGUGGAACAUGUACAUAGACCAAGAGGCAGUUGUUUGAACAGAACAAGGGAAUACGGUGUGGUUUAAAAUCAGGAAAGUUGUGCGUCAGGAUUGUACCCUUUCAGCAUAGUUAAUCUCUAUGCUGAGCAAGUAAUCAAAGUAGCUGGACUGUGGCAUCAAGAUUGGAGGAAGAUGCUUUAAAAGCCUGUGAUGUGCAGAUGACACAACCUUGCUUGCUGGAAGUGAAGAGGACUUGAAGCACUUACUGAUGAAGAUCAAAGACCACAGCUGUCCGUAUGGAUUACACCUCAACAUAAAACAAAAACCCUCACAACUGGACCGAUGAGCAACAUCGUGAUAAAUGGAGAAAAGAUUGAAGUUGUAGAGGAUUUCGUUUUACUUGGAUCCCCAAUCAACGCCCGUUGAAGCAAUAGUCAAGAAAUCAAAGGACACAUUGCAUUGGGAAGUCUGCUGCAAAAGACUUUAAAGAGUUAAAGAGCAAAGGUGUCACCUCGAGAACUAAGGGGCAUUUGACCCAAGCCAUGGUAUUUUCAGUUGCCUCAUGUGCACGUGAAAGCUGGGCAAUGAAAAAGAAAGACCGAAGAAGAAUUGAUGCCUUUGAAUUAUAAUGUUGGUGAAGAAUAUUGAAUAUACCUGGGCUGCCAGAAAAAUGAACAAAUCUGACUUGAAAGAAGUACAGCCUUAGUUACCUAGUGCUGCUGUAACAGAAAUACCACGAGUGGAUAGCUUUAACAAACAAAUUUAUUUUCUCACAGUUUAAGAGGCUAGAAUUCUGAAUUCAGGUUGCUGGCUCUAGGGGAACGUUUUGUUUGUCAGCUCUCGAGGAAGGUCCUUGUCACUAUUGAGCUUUUGCUCCUGAGCAGUCUUCAUGUGGCUUGGCACCUCGCUUCCAUCAUCUCUGCUUCUCUUGCUUGUUUAAUCUCAUUUGUGUCUCAAAAGAGAUAACUCAAAAUAAGACCCACACUAAUCCAGCCUCAUUAACAUAACAAAGACAGCCUAUUCCCAAAUGUGUUUAUAACCACAGGCAUUGAGGUUAGGUUUACAACACAUAUUUUUUGGGGACACAAUUUAAUCCUUAACAAUCCUCCUUAGAAGCCAGGAUGACGCAACUUCAUCUUGCUUACUUUGGAGUUGUUAUCUGGAGGGACCACUCCCUGGAGAAGGACGUCAUGCUUGGUAAAGUAGAGGGUCAGCGAAGAAAAGGGAGACCCUCAGCGUGGGUUGACACAGUGGCUGCAAAAUGGGCUCCCACAAAGCAAUGAUUGUGAGGAGGGCGCAGAACUGGGCUGUGUUUUGUUCUGUUGUACAUAGGGUCGCUAUGAGUCAGGUCUGACUCAAUAACUUUUAGAAUAUUUAACGUGUUUAGUUGUGAUGAAUGGCAUUCAAAGCCUCAAAUAUAGAGAAGGGUGAAUUAUGUAUUGCCCUUGAAAGUUGCUUUGCCUGUGGAAACAAAGUGUCUUGCACAUCGUUGGUGCCUUACAACAAUUUGUUGAUAUGAUUUUGUUGCUGGAAGGAUAGGCAAAGAUUUAGCCAAAAAGAAGUAAAGAAGUAAUGUGGAGAAGUGCAGAGAAAAGUCUGGCCCUUCCUCAGCAAGACAGAAGACAGCCACAGCAAGAAACAGCUACCGUCUUGUCAGGAAACAAAACAUAAAAAUACCUGCUCUCAACAAGCUGGUGUUUAAUGAGGGAGACAGUGAAGAAUUAAGUAUAUAGUGUGCAGAGCCCUGGUGGCAAAGUGGUUAAGAGCUUGGCUACUAACCAAAACGCCAGCAGCUCGAACCCCCCAGCCACUCCUUGGAAACUAUGGGGUGGUUCUGCUCUGUCCUGUAGGGUUGCUAGGAGUCGGAAUCAACUUGACAGCAACAGGCCUGGGUUCUUUUUUUUUUUUAUUUGUUUAUAUAGUGUGCUAAAAGGUGAUGGAAAAAAAAGCAGGGAGUCAGGAAUGAGGGUAGAGAGUGGGCCGCGAAUGACUGUUUCGCUGACUAAGAGAAUAUUAUAAUGCCCUAGCCUCCUCAGGAGAAAGACCUGCUGACCUGCUCCUGUAAAGGUUACAGCCAAGAAAGCCCUAUGGGACAGUUCUCUGCCACACCAGGUUGCUAUGAGUCAAAAAUGACUUGACGGCAUCCAACAACAAGAAGUCUUUGAAAAGAUUCAACUGGAGAUUAAAACGGUAUCAAAUAUGUACAGUAAUUAAGAUUUUCUAAUAAGUCAUGCUCUUUUAUAAGUUGUGUUUCACAGAUGCCAGUUUGGGAAACGGAGCAAUAACGUACCCAGAGCUACGGCAGCGGUGUCUGCUCAUGUGCCGUGGCACUUAAGACCAUCCAGGAAUGACGCGUAACUGUGGUUGCAUUUUAAUCAAGACAAACGAAUAUUCUGCCGAGAGCUAGGCACUCUGAUCGAACGUGUUAGGAAUUACUUUGAUUACUCAUGAUUUCUGUGUGUAGUUAGCCUUGUAGAAUAAUUGAUUCACUUUUUAAAACAAUACUUAUUAUAUAAUUGAGCAUGAAUAUAAUAUUAUAUAUUAUAAUAUUUUAAAAUAAUAUUUGACUAUAAAGAAAAUAGCCAAAAAGUAAUCACUCCUGACAGGGGCAACAUUUUUAGAACAAGUUUAAUUUCAUUCCAUCAUGUUUGGGAGGAGACCCAAAAUUUUAACCAGGUUUAAGCAAAGGUAGCUUUUGGCUUCUGAAUGCAGUGAACACCUGAGAACACCCUGUAAAAGGGGAGGGACACGGGCUUAGGUGAAUUUGUGGAUCCCCUGGCACUUAAAGAUAAUUGCUGCGUUAUAAUUUACACACACACACAUAUUGGGAACCCUGGCUGCGUAGUGGUGAAGUGCUACAAGUGCUAACAAAAAGGUCAGCAGUUCGAAUCCACCAGGCGCUCCUUUGAAACUCUGUGGGGAAGUCAGAAUCCAUGGCAAUGGGUUUGGUGUGUGUGUAUAUAUACAGGGCCCUGGUGAUGCAGUGUUUCAGAGUUCGGCUGCUAACCAAAAGGAAGCCAUAUGGGGCAGUUCUACUCUGUCCUAUAGGGUCCCUAUGAGUCAGAAUCUACUCGAUGGCAAUGGGUUUUUUUAUAUACAUAUCUAUAUAUAAAUUGGAAACCUUGGUUGCGUAGUGGUUAAGUGCUACGGCUGCUAACCAAAGGGUCGGCAGUUCAAGUCCGCCAGGUGCUCCUUGGAAACUCUAUGGGACAGUUCUAUUCUGUCCUAUAGGGUCGCUAUGAGUUGGAAUCGACUCGACGGCACUGGGUUUGGUUUGGUUUUAUAUAUAAAUCAAGGGAAACCCUGGUGGUGUGGUGGUUAAGUGUUCCUAUAGGGUCGCUAUGAGUUGGAAUCGACGGCACUAGUUUUUUUUUUUUUUUUAAUAUAUAUAAAUCAUGAUAUAAGAUAAUUGCUUCAGUCUAGUUUUAAAAACUAGCAAGCAAGAUUUCUUUCCUUCUUAAAAUUCCUUAGUGGCUUCUCACUGUCUUGAAGAUAAGUACAAAUUCCUUAAAAUGGUUUAGGAAGUUCGUCACACUCUGACUCCUGCUUACCCCCAGUCUCAGGGCUCUGUACAGCACACUCUGAAAAAAAAAACCCGAUCCCACUGCCGUCAAGUCAAUUCCAACUCAUAGUGACCCUAUAGACAGAGUAGAACUGCCCCAUAGGGUUUCCAAGGAGCAGCUGGUUCAAACUGAUUAGCAGCUGAGCUCUGAAACACUGCGCUGGGCUGUUCCCCACCAAUGCUAAACCACUAAUUUUGUGUUCCCAGAAAAAUCCAAUCUCACCUCUGAGCUUCUGCACAGCUCUCUCUUCCCUGGCCAGCUCUACCCGUGCUUCAUGUCUCAGCCAUCACUUCUUUCAGCGAGCCUUUCCUACCUCGCAAAUACAAACUCUCGUUGUUAGUUGCCAUCAAGUCAAUUCCGACUCACGGCGACCUGGAGUGUGCGGAGUGUAACUACUCCGUAGAGUUUUCAAGACUGUCACCUUUUGGAAGCAGAUCACCAAGCCUGUCUUCUGAGGUGCCUCUGGGUGGGUUUGAACUGCCCGCCUUUUGUGAUUAGGUGUCCCUUUAUGUUCUCCUAUGACAGCACCUCCUGAUAUUUGUCACAUUAAGUGACUGGUUUGCCUUUUUCCCCACCAGUUCUUGGGGGCUGGCUGUGGUCCUCAGUGCCUAGGAGACACUGCUAGUUUCCUCCCUAAUAUCCAUGUCCACGUCCUUACCAGCAGGAUCUGGGUUUUGUUUAGGGUGGCAGUGUGCCCAGUCUCCUGUAGCCUCAGGUAACAAUGAAACAGUUCUGGCCAAUGAGAGGUAAGCAGAAGCAUAUCUGAGAAUCUUUUAUUUUCCUGAUAAAGACACUGCCCUUCUUCCUCAUUGCCUUCUCCUCCUCCUUUUCACCUGGGGUGUGGUUAAGGAGGCUGGAAGUGCCUAGGAUAGGAACUAAUUAUUUGCCUACUAGGUGAUAAGCAUGAAGAUAAAAGCCACAUGUUAAGGUUGGCAGAACAGGAAGAUAGAAGGAGACUGGAUUGCUGAUGGCCUUGUGGAGCUGCCCUUACAGACCUGGGCUACCUGUCUCCAGAGGGGUCAUUAUGUGAGGCCAAGGAUUUUAAACCAUUCAUUCAGGAUGUUAAUGGUAGUGGUUCACCUAUUUGGUUAAGCAAACCAUAAGUGAUACACUGUUCAAAUAUUUGUUCAAGAAAUAAAAAGUGUAGUAAUAGUGCAUUUGCUGAGUGGUUAUUAUGAAUUAGACAUCAUUGUAAGUGCUUUACAUGACUGCCCCAUUUGGGAGAAGAAUCUUAUGAGAUUCUGGUAGCGAACGCUGGAGAAGACCAGGCCCCACUGUAAAAAUGGUGUGGCAGCAGUAUCUGACCUCCUCCUCAAACUCCACAAGGGGGAAGGACAAUCAUUACCAGCAUCAACCGCCCAAGGCUGAUUCCUAGGCGAGGUCUGACAUGCCAUCUGUCGCCUAUCUUUUUACCAGUUCUGUCACCAACUGUCCCUCUCAUGGCACUCUCUACUUCUCUGCUGGGUUCGAUAAUUCAUUGCCGUGCCACACAGAACUCACAGACCAUACUCACAGCUAUGGGAUUUAUUAGGGAAGUAACAGGUUACUAUUCAGGAUCAGGAAGGCUCAGGAUACAGCUCUUCCAACAGGACAGCCUCUUCUCAGCAGUGCCUGCAGGCACGCCUCUCUCUGGCCCUUGGUCUCUGCCUUCCUCCAGCAAGUGUUACAAAGCUCUUUUAUCUCUGCCAGUAAGUGCCCCCAUGGCACCCCACUCCACCAGCAAGCCUCCUGCCCCGAGGCACUCAGCUCUUAACCACUGCACCACCAGGGCUACAUAUCUAAAAUUCUCUUGAACAAAAAGAGCCUAUCUAGAACAUUCCCAGUGAAUCAGAUGGCCAACAGUACCUCCCUGUUUAAUCCAUUGACAAUAGAACCUUUUCUCCUUAUCUGACACUCUGGUGGCGAAGUGGUUAAGUGCUAUGGCUGCUAACCAAAGGGUCGACAGUUCAAAUCCACUGGGCACUCCUUGGAAACUAUGGGGUGGUUCUACUCUGUCUUAUAGGGUCCCU